rnacentral:rRNA from 1 species
GCCAGCAGCCAUAUCACUCUGCAACCCACUAAAGCUCUGCAGGUGUGAGCCUGGUCACUACCUGGAUGUGAGACCUCCUGGGAAAGCUAAGGUUGCUGCUGGAA